AUUGAACGCUGGCGGCAGGCCUAACACAUGCAAGUCGAGCGGAUGAACUUUGCUUUCUCCUGGAUUCAUCUUCCGACUUGUGUGUAAUUCCUAUUAAUCUGCCUUGUUUUUUUUUAUAACGUCCGUUAACGGGCUCUAUUACCGCAUACGUCCUUCUGUUGUAAUUUUUUUUUCUUCUGACCUCUCGCUUUCUUAUUUUCCUAGGUCGGAUUAGCUAGUUGGUGGGGUAAAGGCCUACCAAGGCGACGAUCCGUAACUGGUCUGAGAGGAUGAUCAGUCACACUGGAACUGAGACACGGUCCAGACUCCUACGGGAGGCAGCAGUGGGGAAUAUUGGACAAUGGGCGAAAGCCUGAUCCAGCAAUGCCGCGUGUGUGAAGAAGGUCUUCGGAUUGUAAAGCACUUUAAGUUGGGAGGAAGGGCAGUAAGUUAAUACCUUGCUGUUUUGACGUUAACAACAGAAUAAGCACCGGCUAACUUCGUG
rnacentral:rRNA from 1 species